CCUACGGGAGACAGCAGUGAGGAAUAUUGGUCAAUGGGCGGGAGCCUGAACCAGCCAAGUAGCGUGAAGGAUGACUGCCCUACGGGUUGUAAACUUCUUUUAUAAAGGAAUAAAGUGAGGCACGUGUGCCUUUUUGUAUGUACUUUAUGAAUAAGGAUCGGCUAACUCCGUGCCAGCAGCCGCGGUAAUACGGAGGAUCCGAGCGUUAUCCGGAUUUAUUGGGUUUAAAGGGAGCGUAGAUGGGUUGUUAAGUCAGUUGUGAAAGUUUGCGGCUCAACCGUAAAAUUGCAGUUGAUACUGGCAGUCUUGAGUACAGUAGAGGUGGGCGGAAUCAGGGGUGUAGCGGUGAAAUGCUUAGAUACCACGAAGAACUCGGAGUGAGAGGGAAGAUCAAUGAACUGCAAAUGACAUUGAGGCUCGAAAGUGUGGGUAUAAAACAGGAUUAGAUACCCUAGUAGGC
rnacentral:rRNA from 1 species